rnacentral:lncRNA from 1 species
UCAUAGACCUUGUUCUUUUGGUGAUAAUACUUGGACCAAAGACCCCGAUGGCUAAGAAGUGAGGGCUAAUCUGAAGGAUCCUUGGAGGCCCCUCAUUCCUAAUAUAAGUUUGAGCCGACAAAAAUCUUAAUUAUGCGAGAAGUGAGGGCUAACCAUGAAGGACCCUCAAAGUCCAUAGAUCCAAGUUAUUUGAGCCAAAGACCUCAACAGCCA